GCGGGCGUAGUUCAAUUGGUAGAAUAUAUCGUUGCCAACGAUAAGAUUGUGGGUUCAAGUCCCAUCGCCCGCU
rnacentral:tRNA from 1 species